CCUACGGGAGGCAGCAGUAGGGAAUUUUCGUCAAUGGGCGCAAGCCUGAACGAGCGAUGCCGCGUGAGUGAAGAAGGCCUUCGGGUCGUAAAGCUCUGUUUCUGGGGAAAAAGGCAGCAUCAGGAAAUCGUUGCUGACUGAUCUUUCCCCGUCAGAAAGUCCCGGCUAACUACGUGCCAGCAGCCGCGGUAAUACGUAGGUGGCGAGCUUUGUCCGGAUUGAUUGGGCGUAAAGGGUGCGCAGGCGGUUCUGUAAGUUUGGAGUGAAACGCAUGAGCUCAAACCAUGCAUGGCUUUGGAAACUGGAGGACUUGAGAGCAGGGGAGGGCGGUGGAACUCGAUGUGUAGCGGUAAAAUGCGUAGAUAUAUGGAAGAACACCAGUGGCGAAGGCGGCCGCCUGGCCUGUUGCUGACGCUGAGGCACGAAAGCGUGGGGAGCAAAUAGGAUUAGAUACCCUAGUAGUC
rnacentral:rRNA from 1 species